UAGACGUGCAGCUUCGCUUGCCUCUUCCGCUUCCUUCCGGUGGCCACCUGCUUGGCGUGACCACCGUGAUUGUUUGGCGUGGCCGUUGUGGGUGCACGAUCCUCUUCACUCAGGUUCCUGCUGCAGGAGUUCAACAGCCAGCUCAUGUGAUGUCACAGAGAAAAAAAAGAACAUCAACCGCACGCAGGAGACAACGGCUGCCGAGAACCGGCUUUCUCUACCGUGACAUCCCAAAAGACGAGGCCUUGGGAGGUACUUGCCCAAACCCUGCAAAACUCCCGAGUCAACGGAUGCGGACAACGCAGAGAGCGGGGGCCACGUGAAGACGGAGGUCAUUUCCGUGUCCGAAGGAUGACUGCAGAGGACAGCAUUUGACAUUAGAGGACAGCAGAACUUCAUCCAUGUUUUUUAGAUUGUACUUUGGUCAAGUAUUUUUAAAGUGACUAAGAAUAAAUUCCCAAAAAAAGCAGUUAUGUGUCCUUGUAAUGUGUUGCUCAUGAAGAGUGGUGUUGCCUCUUUGGAAGUUCUGUUUGUUUCUGCCUUUUGACACAAAAGUGUUGGGUUUUGGUUAAACACUUAGGAAAUGUAGUUCAAGGUUAAAGUGUUUCAAUAAUAUAUUAAGUGUUUCAAACUUUGUUAAAGGUUAAAACACCUGGGAAAUGUUUUGUAAGUGUUCAAAAAAUAUGUAACUGUUAAACUCACAGGUAAUUUGUUUUUCAAGGUAAGUGUUUUGAAAUGUUUAAAGGUUAAAGUGUUGAAAAAGUAUGUCAUGGUUCAAAAAUACAUUUUACAAAAGAGUUUGGAGACGGUACUUAAUGUAUUUUUAAAGCGGUAAAGACGAAGAAUAAAAUGCUUAAAAAAAACAGUACUCUGUCCUUGUAAUGUGUUGCUCAUGAGGAGUGGCGUUACCUCUUUGGGAAGGUUUUGUUUCUGCCUUUUGCCACGAAAAUGUUUGAUUUUGGUGAAACACCUGGGGAAAUUAUGUUCAAGGUUAAAGUGUUUAAAAAGUAUAUAACGGUGAAACACUCGGGCGUUAAGUGUUAUGUAAUUUCUUUUUCAAGGUAAGUGUUAAAAAAAAAUUUUUCAAGGUUAAAGUGUUACAAAAGAGUUUCCAGAUGAGAGUAAAUUGCUAUAAAAGCAUUACUCUGUCCUGGUAAUGUGGUGUUUAUGAAGAGCGGUGUUACCAGUUUGGGAUGUUUUUGUUUCUGGCUUUUGACACAAAAGGUUAGGUGAAACACUUGGAAAAUGUUUUGUUUUGUUUUUUUAUUUUAUUUUAUUUUUUUAUUUUUUUUUUCAAGGUUAAAGUGUGUAAAACUUUGUUCAAGGUUAAACAUUUGAGAAAUGUUUUGAAAGCGUUCAAAAACUACGUAACCGUUAAACUCGCAGGUACUUUCGGUUAAACACUUGGGGACAUUUUUUAAAGGUAAGCGUUAUGUCAUUUGUUUUUCAAGGUAAGUGUUUCAAAAUGUUUAAAGGUUAAAGUGUUGAAAAAGUAUGUCAAGGUUCAAAAAUAUAUUUUUACAAAAGAGUUUGGAGAUGGUACUUAAAGUAUUUGUAAAGCUGUGAAACAUGGAGAAUAAAUUGCUUUAACAAAAAAAA